rnacentral:rRNA from 1 species
AACGAACGCUGGCGGCAUGCCUAACACAUGCAAGUCGAACGAAGGCUUCGGCCUUAGUGGCGCACGGGUGCGUAACGCGUGGGAAUCUGCCCUUUGGUUCGGAAUAACAGCUGGAAACGGCUGCUAAUACCGGAUGAUGACGAAAGUCCAAAGAUUUAUCGCCAGAGGAUGAGCCCGCGUUGGAUUAGGUAGUUGGUGGGGUAAAGGCCUACCAAGCCGACGAUCCAUAGCUGGUCUGAGAGGAUGAUCGGCCACACUGGGACUGAGACACGGCCCAGACUCCUACGGGAGGCAGCAGUGGGGAAUAUUGGACAAUGGGCGCAAGCCUGAUCCAGCAAUGCCGCGUGAGUGAUGAAGGCCCUAGGGUUGUAAAGCUCUUUUACCCGGGAAGAUAAUGACUGUACCGGGAGAAUAAGCCCCGGCUAACUCCGUG